rnacentral:rRNA from 1 species
GAACGCUGGCGGCAGGCCUAACACAUGCAAGUCGAGCGGUAACACAGAGGAGCUUGCUCCUUGGGUGACGAGCGGCGGACGGGUGAGUAAUGCCUGGGGAUCUGCCCGAUAGAGGGGGAUAACUACGGGAAACUGUAGCUAAUACCGCAUAAUGUCUACGGACCAAAGUGGGGGCUCUUCGGACCUCAUGCUAUCGGAUGAACCCAGGUGGGAUUAGCUAGUUGGUGAGGUAAUGGCUCACCAAGGCGACGAUCUCUAACUGGUUUGAGAGAAUGACCAGUCACACUGGAACUGAGACACGGUCCAGACUCCUACGGGAGGCAGCAGUGGGGAAUAUUGCACAAUGGGCGCAAGCCUGAUGCAGCCAUGCCGCGUGUGUGAAGAAGGCCUUCGGGUUGUAAAGCACUUUCAGCGGGGAGGAAGGGUCACUAGUUAAUACCUAGUGGCAUUGACGUUACUCGCAGAAGAAGCACCGGCUAACUCCGUGCCAGCAGCCGCGGUAAUACGGAGGGUGCAAGCGUUAAUCGGAAUUACUGGGCGUAAAGCGCACGCAGGCGGUUUGUUAAGUCAGAUGUGAAAUCCCCGAGCUCAACUUGGGAACUGCAUUUGAAACUGGCAAGCUAGAGUCUUGUAGAGGGGGG